CAGUUGUUUCAACAAAUAUUCGUUAACCAUUUGAUAUGUACUGGGCAGUGGAUCUUCAGCAUUCCAAAAGAUAGAUGUGGUCCUUGACCUUGUGGAGCUUAGUCGAAGAGACUGAUAGAAAACAAGUUAAACAAAAAAAAUUAAGCAAUUCAGGUUGAGACAACCUCUCUGAAGGAAAUAAACGGGCUGCUGUAAUAGAGACUAGUGGAAGGGAGGGCCUAAUUUAGCCAAGAUGAUCAGAAAGGGCUUCUCUUGGGAGGUGACAUUAAGCUGACAACUAAAAGAUAAGAAGUCAGCCAUGUGAACAGCCUGAGUAAGAGCUUUCCAGGCCAAAGGGAAUGGAAACACAAAGGCUUUGAGAGUGGCACCUGACGGAACUGAGUGACUGGCAAGUUGUAUAUUCGAGCUGUAGGUCCUCCCAGUUCUGCUAUGUGGGAUGCUGCCUCAGCAUGGCUUGAUGAGCAGUGCUAGGUCCACACCCAGGAUCUGAACCAGUGAAAACUCCAGGCUGCUGAAGCUGAGCCCAUGAACUUAACCACUCGGCUACUGGGCUGGCCUCCCGAUUAUGUAAGUAUUUUUUACUUCAAUUUUAGCUGAAUGGAUUUUACCAAAUUUCAUUCAUUGCAACAUUCACUAGCUUACGAAAAAUUUAU
rnacentral:lncRNA from 1 species